AGUGAACGCUGGCGGUAGGCCUAACACAUGCAAGUCGAACGGCAGCACAGUAAGAGCUUGCUCUUACGGGUGGCGAGUGGCGGACGGGUGAGGAAUACAUCGGAAUCUACUUUUUCGUGGGGGAUAACGUAGGGAAACUUACGCUAAUACCGCAUACGACCUACGGGGGAAAGCAGGGGAUCUUCGGACCUUGCGCGAUUGAAUGAGCCGAUGUCGGAUUAGCUAGUUGGCGGGGUAAAGGCCCACCAAGGCGACGAUCCGUAGCUGGUCUGAGAGGAUGAUCGGCCACACUGGAACUGAGACACGGUCCAGACUCCUACGGGAGGCAGCAGUGGGGAAUAUUGGACAAUGGGCGCAAGCCUGAUCCAGCCAUACCGCGUGGGUGAAGAAGGCCUUCGGGUUGUAAAGCCCUUUUGUUGGGAAAGAAAAGCAGCAGGUUAAUACCCCGCUGUUCUGACGGUACCCAAAGAAUAAGCACCGGCUAACUUCGUG
rnacentral:rRNA from 1 species